AUCUUUCUAAUAUAAAAUUAGUAUAAAUGACUUCCAAUCAUUUAGUUUUGGUUAAAGCCCAAAGAAAGAUA
rnacentral:tRNA from 1 species